CAUAAGCUCGCCCAUGUUGGUGACUGAGAGUGUAGUAUGUCUAUAAGCCUGUCCAUGCUGGUUAGGGGGAGUCUAGAGUUGCUGUGAGUUUGCCCAUAUUAGUUGGUGACCCAGUGGCAUGACGUAAAGACCAUCCAUUUCUCUGGGACCGAGGAUCAACAGGAAGGGGAACGAGGGGAGAGGCGCUACUUCUGCUGUGAAAGAGCCUACGUGAGGAUCUGUCUAUGCACCUGACUACACACCUCAUUUACCCAAAAAGGUUGAUAUUUUUAAUUAUUUCACUUUAAUCUUUAUUAUUAUUAUUAUUAUCUUUAUUAUUAUGACAUGCGUUUGGGAGAGGCUUGACCUUUAAAGAACUGCAAUUGUACAGUGAGUCGUACAACUGCAGUGUAUUGAAGAUUAUUAUCUGACCGAAGAAUUGUGAUCAAACUAAAUCUUGACAUCCAUAGUGAUUCCCACAGCUGCUGUUGAACAGAAUUUCUCUACACAUCUCCUCACCAGUAAGUGUCCGCCUGGGUUGUUCUCUACAGUUUCCAGAUGCCUCUCCAAAAGGACAUCCUCAAACAAGUCUGGACAGAGGACAGACAAGAUGGUGCCUCCCUCCAGAAGAGAGAACAACAGGUCAGUGUUUCAACCAUGGCCCUUUCUCUUCUGUCACCAUAACAACCCUUUUGUCAUAAUGAGUCUAAUAAUAUAAUGUGUCCGCCAUAGCAACCUCUUAAGACAAUCUUUAAUACAACCAUCAGAAUGACAUCUUUAUCCUCCACACUUAUCAUUGAGGCUGUGUUGCACUGUACACUUGCUUAACCUUAACCUUUGCGCAAACAGAACCUUUUACAAAUCAUUUAAGUGACCGUAGGGUUAACCCCUAGCAGAAUACAUAUGUAGAGUUUGAU
rnacentral:lncRNA from 1 species